UGUGAUGUGCAACGUUGGUGUGUGGU
rnacentral:piRNA from 1 species